GUUGUUACAAGACUCUGAUGAAGAAACGCUGACAUGCUCACCACACCCUUCUGACAUCACUGUUGAAGACACAGGAACAGCGGCAGAUGUCACAGCGAGUAACCACGCCCACAAACCCCCAGAGUUCAUCCAAUUGAGUUUGGGGUCCUUCAGCCUGUUAGGAGGCGGGGUCAGCGAUGACAUCACUGAUGGGCAGGGCUUGCUGCAUCUGCUGCGGGUCUUAAGGAGGACGGUGCUACCGGCUCAUUGGGUGGCGGUGCUGGCGGACGGCCCUCAGCUGCAGCUGCUGCAGUGCUCCAGACUGUCCUCCAUGGUGGACACCGUCGUCCACAUCCAGCCUGAUCACUGCUUCUACGUCACUGUGCAGCAGCACCAGCUGCCAGAUGCACACAGACUGUACCACACACACACACACAGGAUCACACACCUGAGUCAGCUGGUGUCUCUGCUGCUGGAGCUGGAGCGACUGAAUGUCUGCCGUGGUUCAAGAGUUCGGUCCUCCGCCACUCCCCUGCAGCUACAAUCACCUGACUGCCACCUGCUGGUGGUUCCACCCCUCUACACCUGUCUGCCCUGCCUGCUGGAGGGUGAGGAAGAGGAAGAAGAGGAAGAUGUUGAGUUCAAUGAGGAGGAGGAGGAAAAGGUGGAGGAGGAGGACACCGACCUUUGACCUGGUUGGAGUGAAGCUUUUUAAAAGAUUUCUGUUUUAUUGAAAAGUGCCUGGUUUGAACCUCAGGGACACACACACACACCCUGAUACAGCUAUCUCUGUGAGGACACGGACACAAUCGCAGUCUCUCAGCAGCUGUCCCCCC
rnacentral:lncRNA from 1 species